GACGAACGCUGGCGGCGUGCUUGACACAUGCAAGUCGAACGGAAAGGCCUGCUUUCCCUUGUGGAUUGCGGGUACUCGAGUGGCGAACGGGUGAGUAACACGUGAGUGAUCUGCCCCCAACUUGGGUAUAAGCCUGGGAAACUGGGUCUAAUUCCCGAUAGGACUGCAGGGUGGUGCCUGUGGUGGAAAACGAUUUUCUAGUGGUUGGGGAUGAGCUCGCGGCCUAUCAGCUUGUUGGUGGGGUAAUGGCCUACCAAGGCGGCGACGGGUAGCCGGCCUGAGAGGGUGGACGGCCACAUUGGGACUGAGAUACGGCCCAGACUCCUACGGGAGGCAGCAGUGGGGAGUAUUGCACGAUGGGCGGAAGCCUGAUGCAGCGACGCCGCGUGGGGGAUGACGGCCUUCGGGUUGUAAACUCCUUUCGACCGCGAGGAAGCCACCUGGUUGGAAGGGUGGUGACGGUAGUGGUAGAAGAAGCACCGGCUAACUACGUG
rnacentral:rRNA from 1 species